UUCCGGUUGAUCCUGCCGGAGGACAUUGCUAUUGGGAUUCGAUUUAGCCAUGCUAGUCGAGCGAGUUCAGACUCGCGGCGAAUAGCUCAGUAACACGUGGCCAAGCUCCCCUUCAGUCGGCAAUACCCUCGGGAAACUGAGGCUAACGGCCGAUACGAGACGCCAGCUGGAAUGCGGCGUUUACGAAAGACAUCGCUGAAGGAUGCGGCUGCGGCCGAUUAGGUAGACGGUGGGGUAACGGCCCACCGUGCCAGUAAUCGGUACGGGUGAUGAGAGUCAGAGCCCGGAGACGGAAUCUGAGACAAGAUUCCGGGCCCUACGGGGCGCAGCAGGCGCGAAACCUUUACACUGCACGCAAGUGCGAUAGGGGAAUCCCAAGUGCGAGGGCAUAUUAGCCCUCGCUUUUGUUGACUGUAAGGAGGUCAACGAAUAAGAGCUGGGCAAGACCGGUGCCAGCCGCCGCGGUAAUACCGGCAGCUCGAGUGAUGUCCCAUAUUAUUGGGCCUAAAGCGUCCGUAGCUGGCCAGCCAAGUCCGUCGGGAAAUCCACCUGCCCAACAGGUGGGCGUCCGGCGGAAACUGUCUGGCUUGGAACCGGAAGGCUCAGAGGGUACGUCCGGGGUAGGAGUGAAAUCCCGUAAUCCCGGACGGACCACCGAUGGCGAAAGCACUCUGAGAGGACGGAUUCGACAGUGAGGGACGAAAGCUAGGGUCUCGAACCGGAUUAGAUACCCGGGUAGUCCUAGCUGUAAACGAUGCUCGUUAGGUGUGGCACCCACUACGAGUGGGUGCUGUGCCGUAGGGAAGCCGCUAAACGAGCCGCCUGGGAAGUACGUCCGCAAGGAUGAAACUUAAAGGAAUUGGCGGGGGAGCACUACAACCGGAGGAGCCUGCGGUUUAAUUGGAUUCAACGCCGGG
rnacentral:rRNA from 1 species